UACAGAGGUCCCAAGCGUUACUGAGAAUCACUGGGUUUAAAGGGUGCGUAGGUGGUCCGUUAAGUCAGUUGUGAAAUCCCCGGGCUCAACCCGGGAACUGCUUCUGAUACUGUCGGACUUGAGGCCAGUAGGGGUCACUAGAACUGACGGUGGAGCGGUGAAAUGCGUAGAUAUCGUCAGGAAUGCCGGUGGUGAAGACGGGUGACUGGGCUGGUUCUGACACUGAGGCACGAAAGCGUGGGGAGCGAACGGG
rnacentral:rRNA from 1 species